AGUGAACGCUGGCGGUAGGCCUAACACAUGCGAGUCGAACGGCAGCACAGUAAGAGCUUGCUCUUACGGGUGGCGAGUGGCGGACGGGUGAGGAAUACAUCGGAAUCUACUUUUUCGUGGGGGAUAACGUAGGGAAACUUACGCUAAUACUGCAUACGACCUACGGGUGAAAGCAGGGGAUCUUCGGACCUUGCGUGAUUGAAUGAGCCGAUGUCGGAUUAGCUAGUUGGCGGGGUAAAGGCCCACCAAGGCGACGAUCCGUAGCUGGUCUGAGAGGAUGAUCAGCCACACUGGAACUGAGACACGGUCCAGACUCCUACGGGAGGCAGCAGUGGGGAAUAUUGGACAAUGGGCGCAAGCCUGAUCCAGCCAUACCGCGUGGGUGAAGAAGGCCUUCGGGUUGUAAAGCCCUUUUGGUGGGAAAGAAAAGCAGCAGGUUAAUACCCCGCUGUUCUGACGGUACCCAAAGAAUAAGCACCGGCUAACUUCGUG
rnacentral:rRNA from 1 species